UACGUAGGUGGCAAGCGUUGUCCGGAUUUAUUGGGUUUAAAGGGUGCGUAGGCGGCCCUGUAAGUCAGUGGUGAAAUACUCCAGCUUAACUGGAGGGGUGCCAUUGAUACUGCAGGGCUUGAGUGGAGUCGAAGUAGGCGGAAUUGACGGUGUAGCAGUGAAAUGCUUAGAUAUCGUCAAGAACACCGAUAGUGAAGACAGCUUACUAGGCUUCUACUGACGCUGAGGCACGAAAGUGUGGGGAUCAAACAGG
rnacentral:rRNA from 1 species